CAGUAGCCGCGGUAAUACAGAGGGUGCGAGCGUUAAUCGGAUUUACUGGGCGUAAAGCGUGCGUAGGCGGCUUCUUAAGUCGGAUGUGAAAUCCCUGAGCUUAACUUAGGAAUUGCAUUCGAUACUGGGAAGCUAGAGUAUGGGAGAGGAUGGUAGAAUUCCAGGUGUAGCGGUGAAAUGCGUAGAGAUCUGGAGGAAUACCGAUGGCGAAGGCAGCCAUCUGGCCUAACACUGACACUGAGGCACGAAAGCGUGGGGAGCAAACAGGAUUAGAUACCCGAGUAGUCCCUGUCUCUUAUAA
rnacentral:rRNA from 1 species